CCUACGGGGGGCAGCAGUGAGGAAUAUUGGUCAAUGGCCGCAGGGCUGAACCAGCCAAGUCGCGUGAGGGAUGACGGUCCUAUGGAUUGUAAACCUCUUUUGUCAGGGAGCAAAGGGCGUCACGUGUGGCGCUUUGCGAGUACCUGAAGAAAAAGCAUCGGCUAACUCCGUGCCAGCAGCCGCGGUAAUACGGAGGAUGCGAGCGUUAUCCGGAUUUAUUGGGUUUAAAGGGUGCGCAGGCGGAAUGUCAAGUCAGCGGUAAAAUUUCGGGGCUCAACCCCGUCGUGCCGUUGAAACUGGCGUUCUUGAGUGAGCGAGAAGUAUGCGGAAUGCGUGGUGUAGCGGUGAAAUGCAUAGAUAUCACGCAGAACUCCGAUUGCGAAGGCAGCAUACCGGCGCUCAACUGACGCUCAUGCACGAAAGCGUGGGUAUCGAACAGGAUUAGAUACCCCGGUAGUC
rnacentral:rRNA from 1 species